AUUGAACGCUGGCGGCAGGCUUUACACAUGCAAGUCGAACGGCAGCGCAGUCUUUGCCCUCUCGGCGGGGUGCGAACUGGUGAGCAGUACAUCGGAACGUGCCCAGUUGUGGUGGAGAGCUGGGCGAAGUCGGGAUUAAUACCGCAUAACAGCUGAGGGUGUAAGCGGGGAAUCUUCGGACCUCGCGCUAUUGGAGGGUCCGAUGGCCGGUUAGCUAGUUGGUGGGGUAAAGGCCUACCAAGGCGACGAUCCGUAGCUGGUCUGAGAGGACGAGCAGCCACACUGGGACUGAGACACGGCCCAGACUCCUACGGGAGGCAGCAGUGGGGAAUUUUGGACAAUGGGCGCAAGCCUGAUCCAGCAAUGCCGCGUGUGUGAUGAAGGCCUUCGGGUUGUAAAGCCCUUUUGGCGGGAAAGAAAAGCACUGUGUCAAUACCCCGGUUCGAUGACGGUACCCGCAGAAUAAGCACCGGCUAACUACGUG
rnacentral:rRNA from 1 species